GUGAGGAAUAUUGGUCAAUGGGCGGGAGCCUGAUCCAGCCAUGCCGCGUGAGUGAUGAAGGCCCUAGGGUUGUAAAGCUCUUUCACCGAUGAAGAUAAUGACGGUAGUCGGAGAAGAAGCCCCGGCUAACUUCGUGCCAGCAGCCGCGGUAAUACGAAGGGGGCUAGCGUUGUUCGGAAUUACUGGGCGUAAAGCGCACGUAGGCGGAUAUUUAAGUCAGGGGUGAAAUCCCAGAGCUCAACUCUGGAACUGCCUUUGAUACUGGGUAUCUCGAGUAUGGAAGAGGUGAGUGGAAUUCCGAGUGUAGAGGUGAAAUUCGUAGAUAUUCGGAGGAACACCAGUGGCGAAGGCGGCUCACUGGUCCAUUACUGACGCUGAGGUGCGAAAGCGUGGGGAGCAAACAGGAUUAGAAACCCCAGUAGUCC
rnacentral:rRNA from 1 species